rnacentral:tRNA from 1 species
AAAAUCCGUNGACUUUUAAAAUCGUGAGGGUUCAAGUCCCUCUAUCCCCA